UGCAUAUCCCAUGCGGAGGAAAAGAAACUAACAAGGAUUCCCCUAGUAACUGCGAGUGAAGCGGGAAAAGCUCAAAUUUAAAAUCUGGCGGCUUUGGUCGUCCGAGUUGUAUUCUAGAGAAGUGUUUUCCGCGUUGGACCGUGUAUAAGUCUCUUGGAAUAGAGCGUCAUAGAGGGUGAGAAUCCCGUCUUUGACACGGACUACCAAUGCUUUGUGAUACACUCUCAAAGAGUCGAGUUGUUUGGGAAUGCAGCUCAAAAUGGGUGGUAAAUUCCAUCUAAAGCUAAAUAUUGGCGAGAGACCGAUAGCGAACAAGUACCGUGAGGGAAAGAUGAAAAGCACUUUGGAAAGAGAGUUAAACAGUACGUGAAAUUGCUGAAAGGGAAACGCUUGAAGUCAGUCGCGUUAGCUAGAACUCAACCAGGCUUGCUUGGCGUAUUUUCUAGUUAACGGGCCAGCAUCAGUUUUGACCGCAGGAAAAGGGCCAGGGAAAUGUGGCAUCUUCGGAUGUGUUAUAGUCUCUGGUCGUAUACUGUGAUUGGGACUGAGGACCGCAGCACGCGCAAGCUGUGCUUAGGAUGCUGGCGUAAUGGCUUUAAACGACCCGUCUUGACCACCGGACCA
rnacentral:rRNA from 1 species